rnacentral:rRNA from 1 species
GUUUGAUCCUGGCUCAGGACGAACGCUGGCGGCGCGCCUAACACAUGCAAGUCGAACGAGAGAGAGGGAGCUUGCUUCCUCAAUCGAGUGGCGAACGGGUGAGUAACGCGUGAGGAACCUGCCUCAAAGAGGGGGACAACAGUUGGAAACGGCUGCUAAUACCGCAUAAGCCCACAGCUCGGCAUCGAGCAGAGGGAAAAGGAGCAAUCCGCUUUGAGAUGGCCUCGCGUCCGAUUAGCUAGUUGGUGAGGUAAUGGCCCACCAAGGCGACGAUCGGUAGCCGGACUGAGAGGUUGAACGGCCACAUUGGGACUGAGACACGGCCCAGACUCCUACGGGAGGCAGCAGUGGGGAAUAUUGCACAAUGGGGGAAACCCUGAUGCAGCGACGCCGCGUGGAGGAAGAAGGUCUUCGGAUUGUAAACUCCUGUUGUUGAGGAAGAUAAUGACGGUACUCAACAAGGAAGUGACGGCUAACUACGUGCCAGCAGCCGCGGUAAAACGUAGGUCACAAGCGUUGUCCGGAAUUACUGGGUGUAAAGGGAGCGCAGGCGGGAAGACAAGUUGGAAGUGAAAUCUAUGGGCUCAACCCAUAAACUGCUUCAAAA